rnacentral:lncRNA from 1 species
CAGCUAAUGCUGCUGUUCAGUACCUGGAUCUGUGCAAAAGUGCACAAAGUGUAGUAUCAGCACAACCGACCCCCUGUGCUGGUAAGUGUCUAGCCUAACAUCGGCAAAGUAGUACGAGGCUAGGACCAGACUACCAACUAAAUUUGCACACACACACACACACACACACACACACACACACACACACACACACAUAUAUAUAUAUAUAUACACAACAAAAAAUAAAUACAGGAAUUAACCAGUCAAUAUGGGAGGGCGAGAAUGAUGUGGGAAGAUAACAACUCCGAAUAGAAAUCAUCAAAUAAGGAACAAAGCAACAUUACUCAGACAUCAAUAAAGAAUUAGAAAUCAAUAAGUGCACGACAUCAGCUUCGUGAUUUUACUCUCAUCCUCACCAAGCAAUGAUAUAAUAAAAUAUGCACGGCAUUCCCCUUCGUGCUUUUACUCUCAUCCUCACCAAGCAAUAAUAUGAUAAAAAUGUGCACGACAUCACCCUUCGUGCUUUUACUCUUUCAUCACAUAUAAUCAAUAGAAUUGGCACAAAAUGGUACAUCAUACGGCACUGCAUCACCCUUCGUGCUUUAAUACUUUUUUCUCACAAUAACAAACAACAAUACACGGCAUCACCCUUCGUGCAUUAACACUCUUCCUCACCCUAACAACAAUAAAAAACAAAGGGAAAUGGAGUAAACAAAUAAUAAUAGAAAUCCCGGCAAGGGAGCACAGUUUAACAGUUAAGUCCCAACAAGGGAACAAUAUAAAUAAAUCUCAGCAUCCAGACAAGGGAGAUAAUCAACAAAGCCACAAACAUUCCGGCAAGGAAACAAUUUAAUAACUCUUUCUCUUUCUUUUACUGUUACUUCACAACUCAUUUUACCACUUGAGCCAAUGCUCCAAAGGGUUCAGUCAUCUCAUAUACUUUCACAAAUUUGUAAUAUCCUCGAGCCAAUGCUCCUCAGUAUUCAAAGGUCACAAUUUCUUUCACCAGCUUUCAAUAACAUAUAGAAAUCAUCACCAAGGCAUUUGUAAUAUACUCGAGAAAAUGCUCCUCGAUAUUCAACGGUCACAAUUUCUUUCACCUGCUUUUCACAACAUAUAUAAAUCAUCACCAAGGCAUGAAAAACAAUAAAAUCAUGAUAUUCAUAAUAUAAAGACUUACUGUCAUACUAGACACUAACGUAUAGAUACUCGUCACCAUGCCUAUAAUUCGUGCUCAACAAUUAUCACAUAGCAAAUAGGACUCAACUCCUAAUCCCUCAAGUUAAAGUUAGAUCAAACACUUAUCUCAACUUCCACGGCUAAUUCAAGCCUCAAACACCGCUUUGCCUCUCGAAUUCGGCUCCAACCCAAUCGAAUCUAUACAUAAUUGACUCAAUAUCAUCAUUAAGAGCUAUACAAUCCAAUUCCAAUGUUCAAUUAUAACUUCCCAAUAAUUCUUCCAAAAAUUCCAAAAAUCAACCUCGGGCCCACUUGGUCAAAAUACGAGGUUCGGACCAAAAUCAAAUCACUGAUUCAUCUACGAGUCAAUAUAUGAUUUGUUUUCGAAUUUGACCCCAAAACGAGGUCUAAAUCAAGAAAAAUGAAAAAGCCCUAACUUUACCCAAGUCCCUGAUUUUCUACCUUUAAUCACAUGUUUUAGGACAACAAAUUCAAUAAAUUUGAUGAAAGUGGAAGAAAACGAGCUGGAGAUUACUUACCUAAGAAAUUUUGGUGAAGGAAAGCUUCAAGAAUCUCCCUCGAGCUUUGAAGAAGAAGAAGUUUUGUAUAAUUCUAUAAAUCCCGUAAUGGGUUCUGUUUUGGAGUUUUAAAAUAGCUGGGCAAAAUAGCCAUUCGCAUUCGCGAUGGGCAUAUCACGUUCGUGAUGGUUCGAGUCUGAAGACCUUCAUGUUUGCAACAAAGACUCGCAUUCGUGUAGAUUAAACUGGAGACCCCUCCCUCUCAACCCUACGCAUUCGCGAGAGGAGGGACGCGUUCAUGAAGAGCCUACUCCCCUCAGCUUCGUGUUUGUGUCACCAGCUUCGCAUUCACAUCACCACCUUCGCUUUCGUGAAGAAGAAAAUGAACUCUUGGUUAUUUUGCCUUAUGAGUUCGCGAGAGGUCCCUCACGAACGCGAAUAAAAAAAUCUUUGGACACUAAACAUAAAAAACCUGCAAUUUUUUUAUAAGUUCAAAACCUCUUGAAACACAUCUGAAACACUCAGGGCUCCUAACAAAACACUCGUACUAACUCAACAACAUUAUACGAACUUAUCCGUGCGAUCAAAUCACCUAAAUAACCUCAAAACAAUGAAUCAAACCUCAAAAUCAUGAAUUUUUACUCUAACUUCAUCAAGUUUCAAAUUUAGGAGUUCAAGUCUGAAACACGUAAAACGAUGUUCAUUUUUAACCAAAUUUUACAAUGACUUAAAACAUGUAUAAGACCUGUAUCGGGCGCCGGAACCAAAAUACUGGCCCGAUACCCUCACUUUCUAAUCAAAUUCCAUUUCUAAUUUUCUUAAACAUUUCAGAAAAACAAUUUCCAUUAAAAGUUCAUUUCGCGGGCUCGGGACCUCGAAAUUCGAUUCCGAACAUACGCCCAAGUCUUGUAUUUUCCUACGGUCAGGGACCGUAAAAUCAUGGGUCCGGGCCCGUUUGAUCAAAUUAUUGACAAAAGACAAAUUUAUUCAUUUUAACAUCAAAACUUAGCAUUUUUCAAAUAAGUUUACAUUUAAGCUUUCCGGCUAUGCGCCGGGAUUGCGCACACAAAUCGAUGUGGCUCUAAAUGAGGUUUUCACGACCUCAAAAACACAGAAUUGACUAAAAAUAAAUAGGUGAUGACCCUUUGGGUCGUCACAUUCGCCACCACUAAAAUAACUAUUCGUCCUCGAACGGACAGAAGAAAGAAGCACCUGAGACAGGCAAAAGGUGGGGAUAAUGGCUCCGCAUAUCGUACUCGGACUCUCAAGUCGAUACCUUAGGAGGUUGACCUCUCCACUGAACAUGAACAGAAGGAAAACUCUUCGACCUUAGCUGACGAUCUUGCCGAUCUAGAAUAGCCAUUGACUCCUCCUCGCAAGACAAGUCCUUGUCCAACUGGACAACACUGAAAUCUAACACGUGGGAUGGAUCGUCGUGAUACCUCCAAAGCAUGGACACAUGAAAUACUGGAUGCACGUCUGACAAGCUCGGCGGCAAUGCAAGUCUAUAAGCCACCUCUCCCACUCGAUCAAGAAUCUCAAAUGGACCAAUAAACCUAGGGAUAAGCUUGACCUUAUUCGCAAAUCCCAUCACACCCUUCAUAGGCGACACUCAGAGCAAUACUCGCUCACCAACCACAAAAGCCACUUCUCUAACCAUGCGGUCUGCAUAGCUCUUUUGCCCGAAGUGAGAUGUACGAAGCCUAUCCUGAAUGAUCCUGACCUUGUCUAAGGCCUCCUGAACCAAAUCCGUACCUAACAAUCGAGCCUCUCCCAGCUCAAAAAAUCCGACCGGAGAUCUACACCACCUACCAUAUAAAGCCUCAUAAGAACUCAUAUGGAUACUCGACUGGUAGUUGUUGUUGUAGGCAAAAGGCAAAAACUGAUCCCACAAACCUCCAAAGUCAAUAACACAAGCACAGAGCAUAUCCUCCAAAAUCUGAAUAGUCCACUCGGACUACCCAUCUGUCGGAGGAUGAAAUGUUGUGCUCAACUCAACCCGUGUGCCCAACUCUCACUGAAUUGCUCCCUAAAAGCGCGAUGUAAACUGCGUACCCCAAUCUAAAAUGAUAGAUACGGGCACACCGUGAAGGUGAAAAAUCUCCCGAAUAUAGAUCUCAGCUAACCUCUCAGAAGAAUAGGAGACUGCCAAAGUAAUGAAAUGUGUUGACUUGGUCAACCUAUCAACAAUGACCCAAACUACGUCGAAAUUCUUCCGAGUUUGCGGAGCCUAGUAACAAAGCCAUGGUGAUCCGCUCCCACUUCCACUCGGGAAGCUCAAUCCUCUGAAACAAUCCACCAGGCCUUUCAUGCUCAUACUUAACCUAUUGACAAUUUAAACACCGAGCCACAUAUGCCACAAUAUCCUUCUUCAUUCUACGCCACCAAUAAUGCUCCGCAAAUCCUGAUAUAUCUUCGCGGCGCCCAAAUGAAUAGAAUACCAAGAACUAUGGGCCUCUUCCAAAAUCAACUCUCGAAGCCCAUCCACAUUGGGCACAAAAACUCGACCCUCCAAUCUCAAAACUCUAUCAGCAUCUAAGGUAAUCUACUUGGCACCUCAAUGUUACACCGUGUCUCUAAGGACACAUAAAUGAGAAUCAUCAAAUUGACGAUCAUGGAUACGCUCUAAUAAUGAAGAACAAGUGACCGUGCAAGCUAACACUUAACUAGGCUCAGAAAUAUCCCACCUCACAAAUCGAUUGGCCAAAGCUUGAACAUCUACGUCAAGCAGCCUUUCACUGACCGAAAUGUAAGCAAGACUGCCCAUACUGGCUGACUUUCUACUCAAGGAAUCAGCCACCACAUUGGCCUUUCCCCGGUGAUAUAAAAUAGUAAUAUCAUAAUCCUUCAACAACUACAACCACCUCAUCUUCCUCAAAUUCAACUCCUUUUGCUUCAAAAAGUACUGAGGACUCUUGUGGUUAGUGAACACCUAACAUGCCACAGCCAUACAGAUACUGCCUCCAAAUCUUCAACGUAUGAACAAUGAUUGCCAACUCUAAGUCAACAACCGGAUAGUUCUUCUUAUGAAUCUUCAGCUACCUUAAAGCACAUGCAAUGACCUCGCCAUCCUGCAUUAGCACUACACCGAGCCCAACACGGGAAACAUCACAAUAAACUGUAUAAGGCCUUGAAACCUGUGGGCAAAACCAAUACUGGUGCCAUAGUCAGAGUUGUCUUAAGCCUCUGAAAGCUCACAUCACACUCGUCCAACCAUAUGAACCGGGAACCCUUCUAGGUCAAUCUGGUCAUCAGGGCUACGAUAGAUGAGAAUCCUUCCAUGAAAUGAUGAUAGUAAAUGCCAAUCCCAUGAAACACCGAAUCUCUAUAGCUGAUAUUGGUCUAGGUCAGUUCUUGACUGCCUCAAUCUUGUUCGAAUCAACCUGAAUACCCUCUGCUGAUACAAUAUGACCCAGGAAUGCAAGCGAACUCAAUCAGAACUCACAGUUUGAAAAUUUAGCAUAUAGCUGACUAUCGCUUAAAGUCUGAAGAACCACCCUGAGAUGUUGCCCGUGCUCCUCCUGGUUGUGGGAAUAUAUCAAGAUAUCAUCAAUGAAGACUAUCACGAACGAAUCCAAAUAAGGUUGGAACACAUGGUUCAUCAAAUCCAUAACAUUUGUUGGAGCAUUUUUCAGCAUGAAUAACAUAAGCAAGAAGUCAUAAUGCCCGUACCGAGUGCAAAAAGCUGUCUUAGGGACAUCGGAUGCCCUAGUCCUCAACUGAUGGUAGGCAGAUCUCAAGUCAAUCUUGGAAAAUACCUUGGCACUCUGAAGCUGAUCGAACAAAUCAUCAAUCCUUGGUAGCGGAUAUUUAUUCUUGAUUGUUACCUUGUUCAACUGCCGAUAAUCAAUGCACAUUCUCACCAAACCAUCCUUCUUCUUAACGAACAACACCGGCGCACCCCAAGGCGAUAAACUGGGUCUAAUGAAACAUUUCUCAAGCAAGUUUUGCAACUGUUCCUAAACUCGUUCAACUUAGGCGGGGCCAUACAAUAUGGCGGGAUAGAAAUGGGGUGAGUGCGCGGAGCCACAUCAAUGCAAAAGUUAAUAUCCUUGUCGAGCGGCAUGCCCGACAAGUCUGAAGGGAAAAAAUCAGGUAACUCACAAACAAUGGGCACAGAAUCAAUAGAAAGGACCUCAAUACUAUAAUCACGAACAUAUGCCAAAUAGGCCAAAAAACCCUUCUCGACCGUACACCUAGCCUUCACAUAAGAGAUAAUGCUACGGAUAGAAUGAGCAGGAGUCCCUCUCCACUCUAAACGAGGCAUACCCAAUAAAGCUAAGGUCAUAGUCUUGGCAUGACAAUCCAAGAUAACAUUGUAAGGUGAUAACAAGUCCAUCCCUAAUAUAAUAUCAAAAUCAACCAUGUUUAAAAGCAACAAAUCUAUACGAGUCUCAAGACCCUCAAUCGCCAAAAUACAAGAACAAUGGAAUCGAUCGACCACAAUAGAAUCACCCACCGGUAUAGACACAUAAAUAGGAACACCUAAUGCAUUACUAGGCAAGACCAAGUACGGUACAAAAUAGGAUGACACACACGAAUAUGUAGACUCCAAAUCAAACAACAUCAAAGUACCUCUAUCACAAACCAGAACCGUACCUGUAAUAACUAGAUCUGAAGCCUCUGCCUUGGGCUUGGCUUGAAGAGUAUAAUAUUGGGGUUGGCCCCUACCACUUUGAUCUACCUUUCUGGGAUGGCCUGCAGCUGGCUAACCUCCAUCUCUUACGGCCUGAGCUCCACCUCUAGGACCUCUACCUCUAGCACCUCUACCCCCAUCUCUAGCUGGCUGGGCAGGCUGUGGAACAUUUAGUGCAUGUACCAUAGCACGAGAAGCCUGGUGCUGUGAACUACUUGGUGCUCGAGGGCAAAAUGUUGCAAUGUGACCCGGAUCACCACAAGUGUAAUAAGCCCUCGGCUGCUAGCCCUGUCGACCUUAAUGGCCACCACGAAAACUCUGAAGUGGCGGUGCACUGAUAGGAGCUGGUGGUGCACUAUAGGACUGCUGAUCAGACUACUAGCUGCGAGAACCACGACCACCUAAAGCACCGUAAGAAACCUAGAGUGCUGACUGGUAAGGCCUAGGAGGAUAACCCCAAU